rnacentral:lncRNA from 1 species
UUUCUUCUAUUCUCUGAAUCACAACCUUUACGAUUCUUCUUUUACUAAAAUCAUAUUUAUUAUAUGAUUUAUUUUCUCAGAGUUAUGUGUAUAUACACAACUCAAUCUUCAAUACAAAUUCUUUCUCAUUUAGUAAUUAACUAAAUCACUUUAUUUUUUUUAUUCAUUACAAUACGACUAGAGUAAUACCCUUUGCUGCCAGUUACAUAUAUCAAAUCCAUCAAGCAUAGCUUUAUACUAUUUCUAACUCAAGGGAAUAUAUUCAUUUCGUACAUCGUUCAACCUUCAUCAUCCGUAUAGCAAGUAAUAUUGCAUAACAUUGUUAACCUGCAAAAUGUUUGUUUUUACAAUAUUGAACUCGACGGCUCAGCAAAUUUAACAGUCUAUCAUGUUUCACAUAACAAAACUCUAUAUGCACCAAAUGCAUCGUACUUUCUUUUCUAUGCAUAUCCUACAUGCAUCCAUAAUUUCGUGCAAUGCAUAUAUUCAUGUAUUAUACAUUUCUAAUUAUUGAGUUACAUCAUACAACAUGUGUUAUCACAUAUCAUAUAUUAAUUGAGUUUCAUAACUCAAUUAACUUAAUCAUAUUUUGACUUUAACAAUUCAUAAAUCAUGGUAUGUAACUCAUCACAUAAUCACAUUUCAUCCACAAACAUAACUGAAAAACUUGGCUUGAUGGUUUAUAAAUCUUUUAUAAUGUAUUUACAGGCUUACUAUGCAUUUAUAUGUAAACUUAUGGAUUUAGCAAAUAUAACACAAUUUACCUUCAAUUGAUAUGUUAAUCGAAUUCUUGCUUCAAUUCUGACCUUUGACUUGAUUUGAAUCUUUUCCUUGCUUAUAGUUUGUAUGAAUUCUUCUACAAACUCAAUUAAUGACUUCUAUUUCCAGAGAAUUUGAUAAUAAUUGCUUGCAUGAUUUAAUGCUAUUUACGUUUGUAGUGAGAGGAUAGAGAAAUUAGGCAUAAGCCUUAGCGUGGAAUGGGUAGGAGAGGCAAAAAAUGAAACUGCUAGGAAUGAUUCUAGGCUUAUUAAACCUCCCCCGUCUCUUUUCUUCUCUCAUCAGAC